rnacentral:lncRNA from 1 species
CAGCAUUUUGUGUGGACUAGCAGUCUAGCAACUCAUAAUAGCCAAAUUCAGAUCUCUUUAUUCAUACCGGUGAAAUUUAUAUUCAAUACAAGUAAGAGCAUUGCACUCUACCACUAAAUACAGGGUGUUAAGGACAGGGAAGCAAAAGGUUUUGAAGCAAUUGAGUCCCUAGAACAAGGCACACCUACUUCCUCUGAAUCUAAUCACUGAUGGCAAAGAAGGAUUGGCUGUCAGGUGGUAAAGACGUGCAGACUGAGGGUUUUACAGUGUGCCCAGCCCUGCCUUAUACACCAUCUGUCACUUAUGGAAACUUAAGAAUUGCCAAAGACAGGUGGAAAAGGUAGACUUUGCAUAGGUGGCUUACUAUUGUUGCUGAGAGAGCUAGUUAGCCAUGUUAGGCUGAAGUUGGACAGAAGCCUGUGCACAGCAUCUGAUGAAGAAAGUGCUCUCCUUAUGAAAGUUCAUACUGAUUGAGUCUAUCUGGUGCAAAUCUACUCUUUCUGCCUUACUCCUGCUGGACAGAGGGCUCUCUCUGAACCUGUGGACAUGUUAAGCAGAAGGACAUACAGAUUUUACAUUCUUAAAAGGAAGAAAAACGUUUAAAAAUUGCAGAUCAUAUGUGCUAUUUAAUGAAAAUAUCUAUUGAGGCAAAAUAGUAAUACUGAUAAGUCUGAGUGAGAGGCAUUUCAUCAAAAUAACUACAGUAAAGUCCUUUUUCCAGGCUUACCAGCACUUCUGCACCCUCAUCCACAUUCAGAAGCAGUCUCAGUAUUUCUUGGUUUAAUCUACAUGGGGACAUAAUCAACACUGCUGCCCCUGUACAAUUAAACCACUGAAUUAUACCAAGAUAACUCCUUUUGUGCAUACUCAGACUUGGAACAAAUGGCCUUUAAUUUAUAAGAUGAAUCUUAUUAAGUGUGUCAUGGGCAAAAGGAGGAGUUUUUCAAUUAUGUUAACACAAUUGAAAAGCCCCGCAAAAUGCAGCUCUGAAACCAUGAUAGAUUAGCAGAUUAUGCUGUAGCCUAAUUCUGGUAAACUAGUGUGUUAAAAACAGUUCUUUUUAGACUACUGGGACAGAUCAAUGAGUGCUAGGAACACAGUAUCCUCAGUGAAGGGCUUUCCCCUAUGAGACCUGCUACCAUGGGUAUUCCAGAAGGGUAAGGCCCCAGAAGAGAGUUCUUGUGAGAAGGUGGGUGGAGAGUAUGUGGUAAUGUAUCAAAGUGAAGUCUGCUUUGAAAUCCAGCAAGAGCUUGGUUUCUGUAUACGCAUAUUUUUGAUCCUAUUUCAAUUUUGUUAUUAAACCAACUAUAAACUCAGUAAAAAAAACAAACAAACCCUGACCUGCUUCGUACACCUCUACACAACAUACUCCUACUGGACAUUGAGAAACUGCAACAGUAUGAUGUGCACAGGGUUUUAUUUUCAAAGCACUCUCUUAUUUUGUGUAGGAUUUGUAACAACGCAAUUAAUACUUUGUUAUAAAAAGCAGAAAUGUAAAAAAUAAAAAUUUGCCACCUAAUGCA